rnacentral:rRNA from 1 species
GACGAACGCUGGCGGCGUGCUUAAUACAUGCAAGUCAACUGAACUUGAGAUAGCAAUAUUUUAAGGGAGGUGGCGCACGGGUGAGUAACACGUAGGUAAUCUGCCUUUAGGUCUGACACAACCCCGAGAAAUCGGGGCUAAUAUCAGAUGAUGCAGCGGCUCGACAUCGAGACAGUUGUUAAACCUUCGGGGCCGUAAAGAUGAGCCUGCGUCUGAUUAGGUAGUUGGCGGAGUAAUAGCCCACCAAGCCUGCGAUCAGUAGCUGGUCUGAGAGGAUGAUCAGCCACACUGGAACUGAGACACGGUCCAGACUCCUACGGGAGGCAGCAGUAAGGAAUAUUGCUCAAUGGCCGAAAGGCUGAAGCAGCAACGCCGCGUGGAGGAUGAAAUACUUUUGUAUGUAAACUCCUGUAAGAAGGGAAAAAUAUGCAGUUUUUCUGCAUUGAUUGUACCUUCAGA